AUGAGGCUCCCACGACUGGCUCCUCCUCGCUGGGUAUGGAACCUGCCUGAAUUCUCUCUCUCUCCCUCUCCCCCUGCAACCCUCUCUCCCUCUCUUAAAAAUAAAGAAGUUGAGGAAUAUGGGACAAGGAAGGGCAGGAGAUCAAAUAAUGUUGAGUCAAGCAAAAUGCCAUGGACCAGAGAACUGGGGAUACGGACAAACUCUCAUGAGCUGUUCUCCGAGAGGCAGAGGACUAGUCUGGAAAACCCAAGACUUUUGGAACUCUCCGCAAGAAUUGGCUUCCAAAAAUAUACUACUCUCCAGAGGAUGAUGGCUACCCAGUAUCCUGUCUCUUCAAACCUCACCACCUUCUCUCUCCCAUCACAGCUUCCCCCCACCACUGACAAAUCACUGGCUGUCUGUUCAGAGCAUACACCUACUGAAGGAGCGAGAGAGCCACUACAGCACAGCCUUCACCUAUUAACUGCAGUGAAACUCAGGCAGCCAAGCAGGAGGGCACUUCUCCACAUCACAGAGCCAGUGAUAGGGUCAGAAGAAGGACCAGGUCCUUAACUUCUUGUGCCCCAAAUACUGUCCUUCUAAAGAAUUUAAAUCCCCAGUUGGAAGAGAAGCAUGACUCAAAAUGCUAAUCUUGAGGACAGAGGAAAUAUGGGAAGUUCCUUGUGUUCAUUGACUUGCAGUGUAAAAGCUUGGGGGAAAAGUUGUUCUAUUAUGUGUAGCAAAAGUGUGGGUAUACACUUGCUUCUUUGAGUGUAUGUGUAUCUGUCUGUAGCAUUAAAUCCUAAGUUAUGUGUCUGUAUCCCAUUAUUGGAUAUUAGCAUAUAUAUUAUACAUUUGGCUUUGUUGCAUUUAUUUAGCAUGUGUGUAUUUCAUACAUUUGUACGUGUGUAUUCAGACAUGGCCUGGUCAGCUGCUGGGCUUGGCUCGUGAAGAGUUUCAUUUGCACGAGCAACCAAGGUGCCUCUUGAGAAAGAGUUCAUCCUGAUGAAACUUGCAUCUCCAUGCGUCCACUUGGUUGAAGAAGGAUCAGUUUGCAUUUGAGAAAGAGGAGGCUAGAGGGCUACUAUUUGGAGUACUUUUGUCCUCUCUUCUUGCCUGCCAUUCCUAAAGUUCCCCUCCCUCCCAAGUUAUCAGAUGGAGGAUGCUGCCAAAAAAGGGUCUGCAAGCAGCUGCAAGACAGCAGAGGGUUACACCAUGUGCAGAGAAGGGAGCAGCAACUCACCCCCAGGAGAGGGCCAGGGCAGGCUUGGGUGCAGGAGUCCAAAGGAAGAAAAUGAUUGUUCUGUGAAAACUGGUUAAGAGCUGAACCAAAGAAGCCAUCUGCUUGUCCCUGGGCCUCUCAGUUGGAUCAGCCCCACCCCCAUGCCCACACACUAGACCUUAGCUGUCCAUACUUGAGGAAGUCCCUUCCUCACCCGAGUUUGGAAUCAAUUGAGAGAAAGUCACAGGAGUCGGGCAGAAGGAGACGAAAGUCUUCAUUACUUCCGUGGACUGAAUGUGUGUCCUCCAAAUUCACAUGUUGAAACCCUAAUCCUGUGUGAUGGUAUUUGGA
rnacentral:lncRNA from 1 species